AUGCAGAUUUUCAUAAAGACCCUUAUGGGAAAGACCAUCACACUCGAGGUUGAACCUUUGGACAUUAUAGAAAAUGUAAAAGCCAAGAUCCAGGAUAAGGAAGGAAUUCCUCCUGAUCAGCAAAAGCUGAUCUUUGCUGGUAAGCAGCUGGAGGAUGGACGAACUUUGUCUGACUACAAUGUUCAAAAGGAGUCUACCCUUCAUCUUGCACUGAGACUUCGUGGUGGUGCUAACACCAAUCCCAAGAAGAAUAAGCCUAAGAGAAAGAAGUUGGUCAUCCUGAAACACCAGAAGGUGAAUGAAAAUGGCAAAAUUAGUCACCUUCAUUGAAAGUGCCCUUCUGAUGAGUGUGGAGCUGGAGUUUUCAUGGCCAGCCACCUUACAGACAUUACUGUGGUAAGUAUUGUCUGACUUACUGCUUCAAAAAACAAAAAGACAAAUAA